GAUGAACGCUGGCGGCGUGCCUAAUACAUGCAAGUCGAGCGAACAGAUGAGGAGCUUGCUCCUCUGACGUUAGCGGCGGACGGGUGAGUAACACGUGGAUAACCUACCUAUAAGACUGGGAUAACUUCGGGAAACCGGAGCUAAUACCGGAUAAUAUAUUGAACCGCAUGGUUCAAUAGUGAAAGACGGUUUUGCUGUCACUUAUAGAUGGAUCCGCGCCGCAUUAGCUAGUUGGUAAGGUAACGGCUUACCAAGGCAACGAUGCGUAGCCGACCUGAGAGGGUGAUCGGCCACACUGGAACUGGGACACGGUCCAGACUCCUACGGGAGGCAGCAGUAGGGAAUCUUCCGCAAUGGGCGAAAGCCUGACGGAGCAACGCCGCGUGAGUGAUGAAGGUCUUCGGAUCGUAAAACUCUGUUAUUAGGGAAGAACAAAUGUGUAAGUAACUAUGCACGUCUUGACGGUA
rnacentral:rRNA from 1 species